AUCUAGCCGACGAGUCGCAAAUAGGACGAAAUGCGCUUGUGGUGGAU
rnacentral:hammerhead_ribozyme from 1 species